AAAUUGAAGAGUUUGAUCAUGGCUCAGAUUGAACGCUGGCGGCAGGCCUAACACAUGCAAGUCGAACGGUAACAGGAAGCAGCUUGCUGCUUCGCUGACGAGUGGCGGACGGGUGAGUAAUGUCUGGGAAACUGCCUGAUGGAGGGGGAUAACUACUGGAAACGGUAGCUAAUACCGCAUAAUGUC
rnacentral:rRNA from 2 species